AGUGAACGCUGGCGGUAGGCCUAACACAUGCAAGUCGAACGGCAGCACAGUAAGAGCUUGCUCUUACGGGUGGCGAGUGGCGGACGGGUGAGGAAUACAUCGGAAUCUACUUUUUCGUGGGGGAUAACGUAGGGAAACUUACGCUAAUACCGCAUACGACCUACGGGUGAAAGCAGGGGAUCUUCGGACCUUGCGCGAUUGAAUGAGCCGAUGUCGGAUUAGCUAGUUGGCGGGGUAAAGGCCCACCAAGGUGACGAUCCGUAGCUGGUCUGAGAGGAUGGUCAGCCACACUGGAACUGAGACACGGUCCAGACUCCUACGGGAGGCAGCAGUGGGGAAUAUUGGACAAUGGGCGCAAGCCUGAUCCAGCCAUACCGCGUGGGUGAAGAAGGCCUUCGGGUUGUAAAGCCCUUUUGUUGGGAAAGAAAAGCAGCAGGUUAAUACCCCGCUGUUCUGACGGUACCCAAAGAAUAAGCACCGGCUAACUUCGUG
rnacentral:rRNA from 1 species